rnacentral:rRNA from 1 species
UGCCAGCAGCCGCGGUAAUACGGAGGGUGCAAGCGUUGUCCGGAAUUAUUGGGCGUAAAGCGCGUGUAGGCGGUUCGUUAAGUCUGAUGUGAAAGCCCGGGGCUCAACCCCGGAAGUGCAUUGGAAACUGGCGAACUUGAGUACGGGAGAGGAAAGUGGAAUUCCGAGUGUAGGGGUGAAAUCCGUAGAUAUUCGGAGGAACACCAGUGGCGAAGGCGGCUUUCUGGACGAUGACUGACGCUGAGAUGCGAAAGCGUGGGGAGCAAACAGGAUUAGAUA